AAAUGCGAGCUAUGGGUCCUUUUUUCUAAUACUUGCAGAAGAUUUCAGCCCCGGCCACGAUGUUUGCUGUCAGCGGAUGGAAAAGUCUUCCUCAAUUUAUGGUUCAUACCCCAUUCUUCUGAAGUGCUGGUUAUAUUCAAAACUCUGCCAGAAAAGGCAGCUUUUAAAGCCUUAAAGCGAACUCUACAGCUGAUAGCUCCUCUGCAUGAUAUCGUGGCCUACCUUGUCAGUUUUGCUAAGCUUGGCAAUUGUCCAGCAUGUUUUGAAUUUCCUGUAAGUCCCAACCCUUCAAGAGGUGACUGGGGAGGAACUGAGGGCAUUGAAGAACAUUUUUGGCAGCUGGAAAUGUUCCUGCCUACCAGUCUGUCACAGACGGCAUGUGCCAUGGGCUACCAGCACUGAGCAACUCUCUCAGGAAGAGCAUUUUUGCCUCGCAGCUCAGCCUGCCCCAGCCACUGGAUCCACGGAGCCUCCAGGCAUUUGAGCUGUUUCCUUGGAGAGCAUUUCUGGAAGAUGGAGGACCAUUCCCAGUUAUGAGUAGCAGCCCAGAUACCCUAGAAUAUAAUAUGCAGGUAGGAUAGGUCUUCUCCAUUGUUGCAGAGAGAACUGAGUGCCAACUGCGAAGAUGGUUGCCAUUGGGUUCACAGGUCAGAUCCUCCUACUCUCACCCACAAUGAAUAAUGUGUGAGAUAAGCAGGGUGUUUGAUUUUUGAGGC
rnacentral:sRNA from 1 species